AGCAGCCGCGGUAAUUCCAGCUCCAAUAGCGUAUAUUAAAGUUGUUGCAGUUAAAAAGCUCGUAGUUGAAUUUCGGGGUCAGUAGGUUGGUCAUGCCUCUGGUAUGUACUCGCCUCACUGAUUCCUCCUUCCUGAUGAGCCGUAAUGCCAUUAAUUUGGUGUUGCGGGGAAUCUGGACCGUUACUUUGAAAAAAUUAGAGUGUUUAAAGCAAGCUAACGCUUGAAUACAUUAGCAUGGAAUAAUGGAAUAGGACGUUCGAUCCUAUUUUGUUGGUUUCUAGGAUUGACGUAAUGAUUAAUAGGGAUAGUUGGGGGCAUUAGUAUUCAAUUGUCAGAGGUGAAAUUCUUGGAUUUAUUGAAGACUAACUACUGCGAAAGCAUUUGCCAAGGAUGUUUUCAUUAAUCAAGAACGAAAGUUAGGGGAUCGAAGACGAUCAGAUACCGUCGUAGUCUUAACCAUAAACUAUGCCGACUAGGGAUCGGAUGAUGUUAAUUUUUUAAUGACUCAUUCGGCGCCUUACG
rnacentral:rRNA from 1 species